CACUCCAAGCAUUGAAUCCUUGUCGAAUUCCGCUCCAGACCCACCAUGCUGAUGACUGCUUCUGCUGUAUCAACUUCUCUCGACCAAUUUCCGGUCGCUGCCGUGCGUCAAUCAAGUCAUCCCAUUGGGGUUCGGACAGCUGCAGGAUCACCAUCCUCGCUAACCCGCUCGUGACUUGACAUAAAAGGUCAACAUCCAAUCAACUAACGCACAUCCCAAGCUCGCAAUUGAGAAAUGACUUUGGCGUCACGGGCGCCGCUGUUAUCCUCCCCAUCCAACUCCCCUCUCGUCCCACUAUUGAGGCAAUGCUGUCCACUAAAUUGGUGGUCGUGCUGUUUCCAAACCGCGAAUUGCUAUUUCUUUGCCGUGCGCAUUCAUCUAGCCAGCCUAUUGGGGAUUUGGCGUACUGGAUCGACUUCCUCGCUUAACAGCAUCGCCAUCCAUUCUCAGCUCCGCAGCUGGAGAAUUUCGCUCAGAUCAUGCGGUAUUUUUGCCAUUGGUCGAACCUAAGUGGAUAUUUUGCUAUCACGUAUGAAUAUAGGGGCAUGUGAUGAUUGACUAGGCGCCGACAUGCUCAUUUCCAGCGCACGCUAAACAAGGAUGACCGCUGUUCAGCCGGUGUAGGAGUGCGCUACUACACAUCACUCUUGGAAGACAUCCUGGCAGCGCGUGAGGCAGGCGCCGAGGGGAAUCCUACCUAGGAAGAGGAAAGGAGUGAGGGAAAGCUCAUUUCCAUUACACACACAUCCCGUCGAUAUUUGACCUGGCUGAGCAAAGACUGCGUAGCGUAGACACUGUAUUCCGUGUUCUGGCUCGACUCUCGCAAAUGCCAUGGCGGAGCUGGAGGAGGGGCUGAUGGCGUAGGCAGGAGGUGGAUCCACAAAAGGGGGGAGCAAUGUGUCUCACCAGGACGGCUGAGCGAGUGCUGGACAGCUGCAUGGCUCGAAGAGAGAGGGAAAAGAAAACGGACGUGGAAGUGACGUUGGUCGUUGAGGGACGCACUUGCGGUUUAUAUAGGCCUCGCCCGGUGGGGCGCUCUCCGUUAAAGCGGCGAGACGUGACACUAUCCCUAAUAUGGUAUUUCUCGUACUGCCACGGCCCCGCGCUAAACGGGUUCGGGUAAUAACAUUUUCCGUUCCGCGCUCUGGUUGGUCGGGGGCCGAAAGCUGCGCCC
rnacentral:lncRNA from 1 species